rnacentral:snRNA from 1 species
UUUUGAAAUAUUUCGGUAUAUUU